UUGGAGGGCAAGUCUGGUGCCAGCAGCCGCGGUAAUUCCAGCUCCAAUAGCGUAUAUUAAAGUUGUUGCAGUUAAAAAGCUCGUAGUUGAAUUUCGGGGUUCAUACGUUGGUCGGGCUUUUUUGGUCUGUACUUAUGUAAUGGAUUCCUACCUUCUGAAUAACCGGCAUGUCAUUAAUUUGGUGCGCCGGGGAAGCAGGACUGUUACCUUGAAAAAAUUAGAGUGCUUAAAGCAGGCUAUCGCCUGAAUACAUUAGCAUGGAAUAAUGAAAUAGGACGGCAUGGUUCUAUUUUGUUGGUUUCUAGGAUCACCGUAAUGAUUAAUAGGGAUAGUUGGGGGCAUUAGUAUUCAAUUGUCAGAGGUGAAAUUCUUGGAUUUAUUGAAGACUAACUUCUGCGAAAGCAUUUGCCAAGGAUGUUUUCAUUAAUCAAGAACGAAAGUUAGGGGAUCGAAGACGAUCAGAUACCGUCGUAGUCUUAACCAUAAACUAUGCCGACUAGGGAUCGGACGAUGUUAAUUUUUUAAUGACUCGUUCGGCGCCUUACGGGAAAC
rnacentral:rRNA from 1 species